AGGGUUCGAUUCUGGCUCAGGAUGAACGCUGGCGGCGUGCUUAACACAUGCAAGUCGAACGGGAUCCAUCAGGCUUUGCUUGGUGGUGAGAGUGGCGAACGGGUGAGUAAUGCGUGACCGACCUGCCCCAUACACCGGAAUAGCUCCUGGAAACGGGUGGUAAUGCCGGAUGCUCCAGUUGAUCGCAUGGUCUUCUGGGAAAGCUUUCGCGGUAUGGGAUGGGGUCGCGUCCUAUCAGCUUGACGGCGGGGUAACGGCCCACCGUGGCUUCGACGGGUAGCCGGCCUGAGAGGGCGACCGGCCACAUUGGGACUGAGAUACGGCCCAGACUCCUACGGGAGGCAGCAGUGGGGAAUAUUGCACAAUGGGCGCAAGCCUGAUGCAGCGACGCCGCGUGAGGGAUGGAGGCCUUCGGGUUGUAAACCUCUUUUAUCGGGGAGCAAGCGUGAGUGAGUUUACCCGUUGAAUAAGCACCGGCUAACUACGUGCCAGCAGCCGCGGUAAUACGUAGGGUGCAAGCGUUAUCCGGAAUUAUUGGGCGUAAAGGGCUCGUAGGCGGUUCGUCGCGUCCGGUGUGAAAGUCCAUCGCUUAACGGUGGAUCCGCGCCGGGUACGGGCGGGCUUGAGUGCGGUAGGGGAGACUGGAAUUCCCGGUGUAACGGUGGAAUGUGUAGAUAUCGGGAAGAACACCAAUGGCGAAGGCAGGUCUCUGGGCCGUUACUGACGCUGAGGAGCGAAAGCGUGGGGAGCGAACAGGAUUAGAUACCCUGGUAGUCCACGCCGUAAACGAUGAGUGCUAAGUGUUAGGGGGUUUCCGCCCCUUAGUGCUGCAGCUAACGCAUUAAGCACUCCGCCUGGGGAGUACGGUCGCAAGACUGAAACUCAAAGGAAUUGACGGGGGCCCGC
rnacentral:rRNA from 1 species